CCUACGGGUGGCAGCAGUGGGGAAUCUUCCGCAAUGGGCGCAAGCCUGACGCAGCGACGCCGCGUGAGGGAUGAAGGUUUUCGGAUCGUAAACCUCUGUCAGCAGGGAAGAACGGUCACUGUACUAAUUAGCAGCGCCUUGACGGUACCUGCCCAGGAAGCAACGGCUAACUCCGUGCCAGCAGCCGCGGUAAUACGGAGGGUGCGAGCGUUAAUCGGAAUUACUGGGCGUAAAGCGCUCGUAGGCGGUAUGUCAAGUCAAGGGUGAAAUCCCCGCGCUCAACGGGGGAACUGCCUUUGAAACUGGCAAACUGGAGUGUGUGAGAGGAUAGUGGAAUUCCAGGUGUAGGAGUGAAAUCCGUAGAUAUCUGGAGGAACAUCAGUGGCGAAGGCGACUAUCUGGCACAUAACUGACGCUGAGGAGCGAAAGCGUGGGUAGCAAACAGGAUUAGAUACCCGUGUAGUC
rnacentral:rRNA from 1 species